UUGAUAUAGGUUUGCAUCUCAAAUGAUUUGAUAUAGGUUUGCAUCUCAAAUUCUUUGUCAGCUAUUUGCAUCUAUAUUUAGCUGAUCAUGUUAGGAUGGAAGAACA